UACGGAGGGGGUUAGCGUUGUUCGGAAUGACUGGGCGUAAAGCGCGCGUAGGCGGGCUGGAAAGUCAGGGGUGAAAUCCCGGGGCUCAACCCUGGAAUGGCCUUUGAAACUCCCAGCCUUGAGUUCGAGAGAGGUGAGUGGAAUUCCGAGUGUAGAGGUGAAAUUCGUAGAUAUUCGGAAGAACACCAGUGGCGAAGGCGGCUCACUGGACUGGUAUUGACGCUGAGGUGCGAAAGCGUGGGGAGCAAACAGG
rnacentral:rRNA from 1 species